GGGCGCCGGCGGUGGGGGUGGCGGUGGAGGUUGGGUGGUGAGGGGAGGAUGGGUGGUGGAUCUUGAUUGUUGGGAGUUGAGGGUGGUCACUGUUGUCUGAGGGAUUCAUUUUCUUUCCCUUUUCUGGGGAGUUUUUCUCUUAUUUUCCUUUUCUUUCCUUCUUUGGGAAUUUUUUUCUUUGCUUUUUGUUGUUGUUGUGAUAAACUGAGGGAGAGCUCUGCGUUUAUGAAGGUUCUGGAGGUUUUCUUAAGAUGUCAGUGUUGGACAGUUGAUGGUAUUGGAAGAGCAAUGGGAAUAAAGGAACAAGUUGAGUGUGCAGAGUGGGACUAGAAAAAGUGAAAAAGAGCUCCAAGGGAAAUCUUUCACGAUAGAAUUGGGGUUAGUGUUGAGAUUUUUUGCUAAUAGAAUCUGGGUUUGCCUUGGGUUUAAGCUGGGCUUAGAUUAGGGUCAAGUACAGAGCGUUUGAGCCCAACAUCUAUCAAAUGAAAUAGUUCGAGACCAAACAAUAGAAAGUAAAUCAGCCAGGAUUGGAGGAAUCAAUGUCACCAUAAAGCAUCUUCAUUGAGGAAAGAGUUGUACAAUGCUACAACAUCAAGUACUAAUGUCACGUCUACUUCUUUGUAGAAAAUAGACUGGCAUGCUUCAAUCCUAUAUCAGAUAAGGAGGGGGUUUUAAGACACUUAUUAACAUGAAUACUAUAUAAUUUAUUAAGUUAAUCUUUUGAGAAAAGAAUAAUGAUUUCGUGACAAGUGAUAUCAAAACAUAUUUUAUUUUGAUUUCAUCCAUACCAAAUACUUCAAUGGGGAAGCAAGCAAGGUGGUUAAUAAUUUUGAUCCGAUCCAUGCCAAGCACUUCUAUUAGAAAAGCAAGCAAGGUGAUUGAAGAUGUCAAAGGCAUCAUCGGAUUGGGUGGGGAGAGUGUCAUGCCCAAUUCUUUAAAGGAAGUAGAUUAAAAUGUUUCAAUCUCACAUCGAACAAGUAAAAGGAUUCCAAGACAUUUAAACACUUGACCACUGCACAACUUAUCAAAUUAGUUUUUUGACAAAAAAGGAUAACGAACAAUCAUAUCAAGAAAAAAAGGUAAUGAACAAUCAUAUCAAGUGACUUUUAAUUACUUUACGAAAACUGUCAAGUGGCCAUCAAUUAACUUAUUAUAGAAUUUUAAAAAUUAAUUUUGGUUUUUAUUAAUAGAACAUCCAUCCUAUCAACAAAUUUGGACAAUUAACGGAUAUCACUAAUCAAUUUUUAUUACACUACGAAUAGUUAAAAAUAUUAUAAUAAUAUCAAUUAAGUUUUAAAUACCUCGAUAAUAAGCGAUUUUGCUUUCGGAUAUUUCAAUAUAAAUAGACACCAACCUGACCCAUUCCUAAGCUUUAACCCCCAAAAUGAAAAUUCUAAACGCUCAAAAGAAAAAUGGGUACCAUCUAGUAUCAAUUACACCAUUUUUUGUGGUAUUAUUAUUUCCUCAAUAUUGUGGCAGUUUCCUUUCAUGCUUUACUUGCCAAUGCAAUUCCCUUUUUGUUUUUUGUUCCAUUCCCUUUAGCAUUCCAACAUUUUCUUGUUACUUGAUAUUCUUUUCAGUUUAGUUGCUUAAGAUCAUAACUCUAGACAACAUAUUUCAGAACAUGAACAAAUAAGGGUAAAAAUAUGGAGAGAUGUGCUUGGUUUUUUUUUUGCCAAAAGUGAAAUAACAAGAAAGAGGAAGAGAAAAGGAAAAGCUGGGGGAUGAAUAAGACAGGAUGAAUCACUGGGCAUCCAAUCAAAUGUAAGUUAUAGCCCAAAGAAAAAAAAAAGCCUUCAACACUUACUCUGCCUUACUUCUACUGAUCAGCAUCAGACUAUCAGUCUCCCACCUGCAUCCAUAUUUAAUUUUUACACCUUUACUUGUUCACAGAUUUGUACUUUUGUUGCUUAGGCCUUUGUGUUUUUUUUUGUUUGCAGCAGCAGCAGCCACUUUCUGAUCUCCAGUGUCGUUAGGAGAAACAUGCCCUUGCUUUCGAGCAAGCCCCUUGCUUUACUCACUAUAUGUUCUUUCCUGGAAACAGUGAUAGUUUUUUAUCUAUUCUUUUCUUUCACAUUUUUUAAUGCAAUCCCAGAAUGGUUUACUUGACUCCCAUAAACAGCAAGCCAGAGAUGCCCUCCUUGUGUUUCAGCACAUAAAAGGUGUACACUAACUCUAGGAUAGUAACUCCCUCUAUUUAUUUAUUCAGCCUCAGCCAAAUUACAACAUAAAGAAAAAGAGAGAAAGCGACAGUUGGUUGCUCGGGUUUUGAGCCAUUUCCUGUCCAGCCUGUAUGCAGGUUUAACUUAUUUUUCUUUGCUUAGUAUAUGAUCUAUAGGUAAACUCGGGAAACCAGUUUUUGAUCCAAGUUAAAAGUAAAAGCUCAGAGGGAUAUCAGAUGAACAUAUAUAUAGAUGACCUUUCAUGCAUGACCGGGUCAUGCCAAAUGAAGAUAUACUGAUUUGCAGUUAUUUUCAAGCACAAAGUAAGGUUCAUGACACCAAAUUUUAAUAGUAUUUGGUGCUUCCAUGCAAGCACUCUUACCAGUCUACAAUAUACAUAUCUUCUAUGGUAAUGGCAGCCAUCUUGUUAGCCAAUGCAUUGCAGUUUCUUUUACAAUGGCAGGAACAUAUGAAUAUAAAAUCAAAUUAGAAACCAUAGUAAUUGGCUUGGUUAGUCCUAAUUAGUUCACUACUUUGUUGUGAUAUGUAUCAAGACACAGAAACCGUACUUUUUAAUCAUAAGAAAUAUAUGUGUGGGACAUCUACAAACUUCAAAAAACCUAAAAGGAUAGAUCUCUGAAUUGAUCUUUUAAUAGGCAUCAGCAGAUAGGGCCACAACAGAUUCACUAGGAAAAGGUAUAGAGAUGAUAUGAGAAAUAAUGACAAGAUCAUUAAAGCUGAGAGAAUUAAGCCAAUAACUGACAAAAUCAGAGAGAGGGAUUUCUCAGAAAGCACAAUAUAUAUUGCAGUAAUUUAGUAAGAGAUGUAAGUUUAACAACAAAAGGGAAACUUUAAAGCUGUAUUUGGGAUUUGGGUUCAAACUCAUUAAUUACACCCAAAUCAAUGUAACAGUAAACCAACAAAGCCAAAACCAGACAUUUCAAUGUGGUUCUAAUAUGAAAGCUUGAGGGACAAAUCAACACAAUUAGAAGCAUUAGCAUAAGAAGCUUCACCACCCACUGCAACUGAAGCUUCUGCAGGCAAUUCCCAUUCCUUGGAAGAAGUGCUUCUGCUACUUUUCCCUGGGAAGAAUUCAUACUCCAUGAGAACACUUCCGGUGCCCAUAGAGCUUCCUUUCCUGUGAAUUGCCACCACCUCCACAGUCUGCAUCAGAAGACAAAAUUUAAGUAUCUUACCUAAAAAUAAUAAACAAACAAAAUCAUAUAGACAUUCUCUCUAUUCCUUAGGGAAAAGAAGAAAGGAGUUGAGACAAUUUAAUUAUCACCUCAUUGAUGUUCAUGUGGCCUGCAUAGGCUGCAGCACUCCUCGCAGCUCUAGCACUGAAUCCAUUUAUCUCUUCAUUGAUGUUUUGAUUGUUUUCCUGGUUCCAUCCUAGAAAAUGGUCUCCUUUGUUGGGCAAAAUUUGUCCAAAUUGGUUGAACCCUCCAUUAAACCUUACAUUGUCCCCAUUACAGCGCUUCUUCUGCAACAUGUAAAAGUCAGUAGGACACUAGUAAUAAGUAAUAUAAACGAUAGAAAUCCAAUCACUAGAAACAUAAAACAACAAAAACAAUUACUCAACAAAGGCCGAGACAAAUACUGACUCGUACUUGUUUUGGACUUUUAGGUUUAUCUGAGUGAUUUCUAAACAAAAUCCCAAGAAAACAAAGAAAUGACACCUAAUUUUUUUUCUUUUCUUUUCUUUUGGCGUUGCCACAUUUUCUACCAAGCCAAACAAAAGGACUCAAGACAUCCUUAAUCCAACUUAACACACAUAACUAUAUGGCUUAACUAAGAUUCAAAGCCUCUUUCUUUUUUUCCCUUUUUCUUUUUUUUGGAGUCAAACAUAAAAACUAGAAACUAGAAUCAACAAUACCAGCUAGUUCAAGCUUCAAAAUAUUAUUUUUCCUUCACAUUUUCUAACGUUUCUUUGAAACCACACAUAAAACAUCACCAAAAACCAAGAACACUAGACUUCAAACAAAGAAAAACCAAAAGCACAAAUUACAAAUUAAGAAAAACUAAAAAAAAAAAAAGAACUAGACCUUAAAGCAAACAUCACAACGAUCAGGCUUACAAUGCUGUAACUUUGGCAUUGAAGAGAGCUCUUUAGAAGCCUCCACAACACCAGCACCACAAGCAACCUGAACACUACCAGGAGCUCCAACCAAAACCUGACCAUUCAACCCACCAAACCCUCCAUUUCCAACAGCCCUUUGCAUCACCAAACCAGCUGUGUCACCCCAACCCAAUAAACCCCCAUUCCCACCAUUGAUCAUCAUGGGAACACCAUAGUUCGCUACACCAUGAAGCACAGGAACAUUAGUAGUCCCAAUAGGGUCAGAAGGAAACUGGGUUGUUGGUGUAGUGAUCGUUGUUGUCGUUGCUUCAGUCAUUUUCUUCCACUUUUCUUGGAGCCUUAAACGUUCAAGUUGAGCCACUCCCAUGCCUCUUUGUGGCUGUUUCUUUUGGUAUGGACCUUUCCCAGUUGGUUUCCUUCCUUUGUUGCUCUUCACAAACCCCACAGCUGGUCUAGCUUCAUCUUCCAAGGCUUUUGCUGUUGGGUUAUUAGUAUUUGGAGUCAAGAGUGUAAGUGAAGUAGCCAUUACAAAAAAAAGGGUUGAUCUUUUUGGCUUGAACAAUCAAACAGAGUGAAGCCAGAGAGAAAGGAAAGUUUUUUCUCUAUGUCUUUGGCUUUUGCUUGGUGAUCAAAGAAUGGGGUUUUUAUAGACCGAUGAUUUUGAAGAUUUGGAUUUUCUUUUUUAAUUCAAAAAAAGAGAAAAUUUUUAAUUUAAUUUAAUUUAAUUUAUUUAAAAAAGAAAAACAGACCAAAACAAAAUCUACCUCUGUGAAAUGCUAAAAGGUACAUGGCCUUGUCUGGUCUGCUAUUUUACUUUUCCUUUGUUUUUGUAUUUUAGUCUUUUAUUUUGUUUUUUUUUUAUUAAUGAAAUUGCUAUCUCCACUCUUGUUUUAUCCGCUGCCAAAUUUACCAUCUUAUUGUAAAAAGAUGGAAUCCAAAAAUGCAUUUGCUUUAAAUUGAAUUAAGGAAUUCAAUUUUUUUAGCCAAAUUUCCAAAAUACGGUUUGGUUGGAUUACUAUUUUUAAAUUAAAAUAUUAGUAAUUUCUCCUAUAAUUUUCACAAAUUUCUUUUUGCUCCAUUAAAAAAAAAGGACAAAGAGAAUUCCUUCCUGGAAUCAGUAAAACCAGCAUGAGACAUAGAAAUUUUGCAUUCCCAGCCACAAAAAACACACCAAUCCCUAUGCAAGAAAAACGACAACCAGGCUAUCUCAAUGCGCGUACACACACGGGGCAUCCUGUUCUGAGAUAAAACGCAACACACGCGCUUAAAGAGAGUGGACAGCAUACUACCCACAGACACGUGUCAGGUACAGAGGGUAUACACCGACUAUACCGGGGCACGGUCUGAAACACAAGGACAUUACAACUCCUUUAAAGUAGUUGGCAGUGUCAGUUUACCCAAAAACAGCAAAGAAGGAUUAGGGCUUUUCAUUUUCAUGCAAAAACAUAUAUAAAUCCUUUGCUCUUUUGUCCAUUUUGUUGUAAUUAUAUUUCCAUCAAUUCAUGGACAUGGUCAUCAUCUUGUUAUCAUGGUCAAUUUUUGGCUCAUCAUAUGGUUCCAAUAAUUAAAAUAUUUUUGAAUUAAAUAAGAAAAAAAAAAUUACCCGUACGAUGUAACGUAACCGGUAUUAAAAAUAAUCGGCAUAAAUUAUUAUCAGGUUUCUAUAAGGAAAAAUGCACAAGAAGGAGUCUCUAUCCCCAUAUGUUUCUCUGCUCUACUUAUGUCUUAAGAUAGUUUUUUCAAUGAAAAUUAAGUAAUGAUAUGAUCUUACUAUAUGGGUUUUUUGUUUUUUUUUGUUUUACAUACUAAUUGAUUAAAUGCAUUUGAAUUUAAUGGGCAUGAUCUUUGUGAUAACAUUGGUGGGAAGCUAAAGGAUUGUGAGUAAAGGGUGUAGGGGCAAAGGGGCAAUCAUAUAGAGUAAGAUUUGGUCAUGAUCUAUGUGAAUCUGCCUAUGUUGUAGGGUUGCAAUGAUGGCCCUUUCUUCAUAUUUGGAAACCAUCAAAAAGCUGACUCCAUGUGCUAGUUUCUACUAUGGCCAAUAUAUUGGACUAGGAUGUGUCAUUAAUGUUUUAAUUAUUUCUCCUUUUGUGAUAUAAAUUCAAUGAUAAGUAAUUUUACUCUUAGAUUUUCCAUGCCUUGCUUGGGUUUAUUAUACAUAUGAAAUGAUUUUUGUCUUUCAUUUGUUAGAUAUUGUAACAGGAAUAACAUUAUAAUCAAUGCCUCAGUGGUCACAAAUCUAGCAAAAUUGAAAUAUGGGUCCUUGUAAAACUAGCUAGUAAAGCAUAAUCAUAGUUAAUUAAAAUGGGUUUUUGACUUGUUCUUAUUCCCCCCUCUUUGUUACAUUCUAACUAGAAACACAUGACAUAUAUCGGACCUAUAUUCCUAUAUUUGGUUAUGAACUAAAUGAUCAAACCUCUUCUUCAUCCCAAAGCCAUUCUUCUUUUGUUUUGCUUACCAUGUGUUGCAUUCAACUAUUCAAACUAUUCACCCAAGUUUCCUAACAUGAUCAAUGAUAUUAUUCCAUGAAUAUAAGUUGGACUUUCUCUUUCACCACUUGGAAAUUUAUGGCAAAAAUUGUUUCAUGGAGUUGUUACAAAGCAAUGAUGAUAAAAACAAAGUUUCCCUCAAAUCCAAUCACAUGAAAGCAUUUUCCUUAGGAUGUCCCCAUCAUGGCAAAUUCCCAUCUCAAAGUUAACCAUUUGAACUCUAUCAAUCAAUCAUAUUUCUUCUUUCUUUUCAAAUGGUUAGUUAAUUAGCUAUUGGCCAAAUAAUGGGGAGGGUCACCAUCCCCUCCCUUAACCUUACCCUAUGGAAGGCACCAAGUUCUCAAAAGAAACCCUAAUCAAAAGCACCAAUACCUUUAUAAUAUUUAACUCUUUAUUCUAAUCCCAUAUACAUAUGUACAUAUAUAAUAUCAUAUUCACAAUUAAAUACGACUCAAAAAAAAGUUAUACCUUUGAAACCCAUUAAUGUAUUUAGAUCAUCAACCGAAAUUAUCGACCCGAAGAGCACAAUUAAGUCUUAUCACGUUAUGGUAUAUCAUGGGGUUGAUAUGAGUAUAUCUAUGGCACCAAAAUCUUGUGCUAGAGCUAAAAGAUGGAAAGCUUAAAACGAAUGAAGGGGAAGAAGAAGAGAAAUUUCAAUGGAAACCGCGUGACUAACCAAAGAUGUGUAAUUCUGAUAUGAUUCUGGUUGAAGAUCUCAAUAAUUCCCCCAUCCUCCCUCCCCCACACAAAUGCAUGCAAUGCAAGAAAAAGCUGAAAUCGUACGGACUGCCUGCCUCCUCCCUCCGCCGUCCUUAAGAUAGUGACAAUCCUGACCAAUAAUGACCUGCCACGUGACCAAAUGGGUCCCUCCACUCUCCUCCUUUGUCCUUUGCCCUUCUGUAAGCCUUGAUCUAGUACUCUAGAUCUUAGGGCAUAUGCAUAGUGGGUGAGAGAAAAAAAAAAACCUUCAAAAAGCGCAUGGGGUGGUCCCCCCCAUCAAUGACACGUGGCAAGUGGGGUCCACCUCUUGUGUUGGGGUAGGCGGCUGGGGGAGGAGGAGUUUUGGCACGUGUGAAGGUGGUGGAAGCGCGUGUAUCAGAGGGUUGGGGUUUAUUUUUUAAUUUUUAAUUUUUUGGAAUUUAUUUUGGAUUAAUUUAAAUAUGAAAAAGAGAAAAGGGCCUUGCUGGGUUUGGGCAGACAUGGAAGGAUUCUAGGGGUUUGGGAAGCAGAUUGUGCCCUGCAUGGAAAUGAUUGGGGAUUUGGGCAUUAUUUGUAAGGUGGCCUACUGUUGUGUGUGUAUAUAAUAUAUAUAUAUAUAUAUAUAUAGGACUAUGACCCCAACUAUGGGGCUCCUUUUUGCAUCAAAAUGGGGACCAUAUAACACAAUCCUUUAGUAUUUCUAUGACAAAUAGCUCUUAAAAAGACAUCAAACUAUACAUAUUGUUUUCCCCAAUUAAUUAGCAUUGCAAUCUCAUAAUCUACCCACAACUUCAUACUUACAAGUUACACUUCAACUAUAUUAAUCUUUUAGAAUAGAUACAAGAGGGAAAAGAGAGUUAAGACUAUGCAUAAUGGCAUCAUAUUGCCUAAUGGAAUGUGAUUGAGAAGGUUGCCAUUGUCAAGAUUCUGAGAGUCAAACACAAAGAUAAGAGUUGUUCGAAUAUCAACAUCUUUUUCACCCCUAUUGAUCAUGGUGUUUGGUAAAAAGGAUUCCUCAUGUCCGCUUUUAGAUUAUUUUUCUAUUUUAAGCUUUGAAAUUUUUUUUUUAACGUCAUAUUAUGAUUUCAUUAUCAAAAUACUUCGAAAAUAUGAUAUAAAAGAGAUUUCAUCUUGAGACUCUUUACUUGUAAUUUGACAUGGAUUCAAUUAGAAUACAGAAUUGAUUUUAAAUUACAAGGAAAUUGUUGAUGAUCUUGAAAAGGGGUUUGUAGUAAAUGAGGAGAGUAGGUAAGCAUUUGGUUUCAUCCCCAAAGGUAUCUUAAAGGUUGCUAUAAGGAACCAAAGGUUAGAGUAACUGUUGGCCCUGGCUUUUAUGCAACUUGUGAAAGAUGUUACUCUUUAAGGCAAAAAAUAUAGCGAAGAUCAAAAGAUCCCCUCUCUCCCCCUCACAUUUCCAUCCCCUCCCCCCCCUGUAAAUCAAAAGGGCUCAUAAAUAUGGACCACAGUCAGAUAGAGAUAAGAGCAAUACAAUAAUUACUCAGAUCUCAAUCUGAACUGAGAUUUUGCUCUCUGCUUCUUUCUUUCUUUCUUUCUCUCUCUGUAUUUCACCCCACUCUCCAACUUUAUAUUACCACUGUGCCCCCAACAUGGUACAUUCGUCUUUGGCUUUUUUAAGAUUUUAUGGAGGGACAGGAUCAACAGGGUGCUGCAGAAAGGUUGGGGAAGGGUUAAUCUGGACCGUCCAAAAGAGGGACAAAACAAUCUGGUGGGGGAUGAAAUAUUUGGGUGUUCUCUAGCAUUUAUGUACAAUUUGGUGUAAAGUGAUGCAUGGAAAGUUAAAAAAGGGGUCACUGUCAGCUGUUAGUUGUGUUUGUAUUGGGUACCUGCAUAUGAAAAAGAAAACAGUACUGUGAAACAAAGACACUGGAAAGUAAGGUGUGUCUGCAACUGUAAGAUGUUUUUGAGCUGCAAUCAAAAUUCUGUCCACUCUCUAAACCCCCACCACCAUGUACCAUAUUCAACAGUAUUAUAAUUUUUUUUCUUUUUCUGUUGUUUUCUUAGAUAAAAAAAAAAAAAAAAGAAUAAGUACACGAAUAUUUGAUGAUUUAAUAAUAAAUAUAUGUAUCUUUUUGUUGAAGAAAACAGGUUCAAAUCACAUUUUUCCUAAACAAAAAACUCUAUAUGCUGUUUUGCCAGUUUCAAUGGUACCUUUCAUAUGGGUUGCUGGGGGGUUCAAUUCCAAAGCAGAUUCUGUUGUUUUCAUCCAAAGCAUAUUCCUUCUGCUUUUUCACUCCUACGCUUUUCAGAAACAGUAGGGAAGUUGAGAACUAUCAAGAGAAAUCUUCUAUUCUCUUGUCAAAUUGGAGCAUCAUUCAAACAUCAGAAACAGCUACUGCUCCUGCUUUUGUUCCACUGUAAGAAGCAAGUUGGAAAGGAACACGUUAUCCAACUGUUUCUGUUGCUCUGGUUAAGCAUAUAAGCUGAAGACAAAAAUGAAGGCAACUUUUACUUGUUUGCUUUCAACAUCCUGCUGUUGAAGGGUAUGAACUUCAAAAAGUUCUUUUUCUCUUCAGGUUUUUUGGUUGGCUGAAUUGUUUCUUUUUCUUUCUCUUGGUACAUGGUUGGCUAAUAGUUGGAAGGGAGAUCAUCAGUAUUAAUGGUUCAUGAUUUACACAAAUGAAGAAAUCAGGUAGGAGAAAAAAGGAUGAGAAGAAGACAGGACACUUGAAUAGAAAAUGGUGAAAAGAGAACUUCAAUGCCACAAGUUCAAAUAUCUUCAUUCCUUAGUUCCUCCAUCUUUAGGCCAAUUUAAGUAUAUAGCUCUCAUUAUUUUGGGGGAGUGAAACUAGAAUGUAAGGGGAUAGAAUCAUUGGAAGUGAAUGAAUAAGAUUAUAAUACAAAACUUGAUGUUAUGACAUUCUCUGCUUUACAAAUUGAUCUAUCUACAUAUUUAACCUAGAUUCUGCAAAGGCUACGCUCUCAGGAAGGAUAAAUGAUGCACACAACAUCCAUUUUCUGGGUGCAACAAGGCGUACCCUACGCAUAUCCACAUUAACUGCAACCUCUUGCAAGGCAAUUCGUAUCCGCUGCAUUAACACAACAUAAAAAUAGAUAUGAAAUAAAGAAACAGAAAACAUAGCGGCCAUAUAUUCCACCUAAAUGCUUCAACAGGACUAGCAGUAGCUAAUAUGGACACACAAACAUUAUGAGAUUUCAGCACCAUACCUCAUGAAAGUCAAACUCAGGAUCUCGAGCUUUCGAAAAUCCAUAAACAUGAAUCAUUGGGAAGCUGAAUUCUUUAUCUCUAGGUUGAUCUCUGUACACUCCCCUGAAUGCAACUGUUCCUCAAGGCCAAAACAUAUAAAGAGAUUAAAGUUUUGCAUGAUAUCUCCAGAUCAUUUUAACAUACUGUGAGACCAAUAACCACUAUCAACCACCAUGACUUCAGAAGGUUCUGAAGACUUUAACAAAUACUUCUAGUUAACAUCCCUCCCAAAGCCAAAAAUGGCCCUGGAAAACAUUAUUUAUCAGCUAAGAAGCAUCAUCUAAUAACCUUUUUGACCAGAGUAGUACACAUUGAAACUUAAAUCCUGGUUCCAUCAGUCAUUUCAAAAGUCUAUGUUUAUAGCCUUCACAUAACUAACGUAAUCCUAAUUGUGAUUUCUCAAAAAAAAAAAAAAAACUACCAUCAACGUGUUGAUCUUUAACAUUCAACUGGAAGAAUGUGACAAGAGAUUAUGGCAAACAAGUAGAAAUAACCAAAUAAUGUAAGUAGGAGUAUGAAAUUCACUAAAGACAGUCUUAUUAUCAUGAAAAGCAAAAGAAAGUGAAAAAAUGCCAGCCAUUUGAAGAUGACUACUUACCCAGAAAUUCUGCUGCAUCAUUUGGCAAAUUCAUAACUACGUGUGUAAUAGAAUGAGCCUUCUCACUAGAAAACAUAGCAUUGAUGAAUCUUCUUCCAUCCAUGUUAAAAACCUAGAUAGUGACACAAAAUAUCCUCACUAUGAAAUAUACAAUUCUAUUCACAAGAAAAUCAAACAUUUAAAAACAGCAAUAUCAAAUAAGAUAUAAAUUACCUGGGUCAGGGCAGCAUCAGUGAUAACCAUUCUUUUCAAUUACCUUUUUCAUCUUAUAUUUUAUUAAGCCAUGGUCUCUAAACCUCGUCUGGUAGGAGUUUAGAGUCAUUUCUAGUUUAACUUAUCAACUUUGAAGACAAAUUGUGACACCCCACCCACCCAAAAGGAAUAAGGAACAAGUGAAAUGUCUAUAGGGAUAAAGUUAAAGAACUAUAUGCAGCACAUAAAUUCUUUUAGUUGACCGAAUCACCUAGCAUAAUGUUACUGGUACAAAUGACUCAAUCAUACCUUAAUCUUCCUCUCAACUUUGUUGAGGACACUAUUUCUUUCAAGAUACUCAACCGCAAAAGGGUUCAAAUCAUUAGCAUAGACACGUUUUACUAUCUUAGCGGCAGAUAUAGCAAUUGGGCCAACCCCAGAGAAUACAUCACCUGCCAAUUACAAAAAGAGUUCAGACAUAUAAGCAUCUUGAUAUGAACACUUACAAAAUCUUUAACUAGCACAAAAUUUUUGGAAAUAAAAGAGCCUUGCAGUGAUUAUAACAACAAUUCUCUGUAAUAUAUAAUCCCAAACAACAUCAAGAUGCAAACAUACAGAUGACAUCCUUGUGAUUGAAGCCACUCAGAAGCCUCUGUCUCUCAGUUGCAAGCCUCGAAUUCCAAUACCUGCAAACAAGAGGCAAAAGUGGAACAUGAAUACCCUUGUCAUGGAAUUAUUCUCUGCUAUAUGCCCCUUGCAUCUUCUUCGGACAUGAUUUGACUUUAAUCCUCAUUUGGAGGACAAACAUUAAGAAGUCUAAGUUAAAUUUCUUAUCGCUUGAAUGGACAGCAUCACAUACACUGUUGCUAAAUCAACAUGAAAUCGCAGUCCAUUCUCAACUACUGUAGUGACCAAGGAGCGAUUCCCAGCUAAAACCUCAAGCUGCAUUGUUCUGUAGUCAUUAUGAAUUGCAUCAAUCUUAUUUACAACGGUUUGUAUCUUUGGCUUAUUUUUGUCCAGAACCACCUGACAAAGUGGAAAACAACCAUCUCCUGUCAGAAGACAAUUAAUGAGUUCACUUUCAAAUUCGUAGACAUAUCUUCACAAUGGUAAAAUUAUUAAUAAUAUCUAUAACGAGCACCUUUGCUAUAACAUUCUUGUAUGGUAGAUGUUCAUCUCUCAGGUUCAAGUGUGCAAUAUGACCAACUGUCUCAAAGGCUGAAGGGAUAAUCAUUCCCUCUGGUAACAAGGCCUCCAAUAUCUGCAAGCAAUGCAUAAGAUUUAAAGUCUCCAUUGAUGUUGCAAACAUUUAUAUCGUAGUCUGACUAGUUGAGAUGGGAUCAAAACAAAGAAAAAAAAAACUACCUACACCCCAUUUUUCUCUUUCCUCUUAGCCAGUUAGUUCUCAUUGAUUGGGCAAGUUAGUAGAGGUCUAUACUUUUGUGGUCCGCAUGUAACAGAAUAGUACAUACAGACUUUUAAUGAAAUAAUUGAUAAUUUAUUAUAAUUGCACAAUGCUACGUGAUUCCACAAAUCUUGUUUCUUCAUCCCUUUGAAAUUAAAUGGUCUUCUAUAUUAUUGCCUAUCAUGCUGCCAUUCCCAGCUUCUAAACUUUUUCACAACAUUACGAGUAGGGUGACUCCAGAUUUAGAUGAACAUGAUGUUUCUCAAAGAUUCAAGCAUACAGAGAAAGAAUGGAAAAGAAAAAAAAAAAACAGAGGCAGGAAUGAUGAAAAGAAGAACAUAUUUUCUGUGCAAGACACCCUAACUUCAACAACCACUUAAAUGAAUCUUAGACACCUAGGAAAUCUCUCUUUGAGAGAUAACAGAAGUAAGCUUGAAAGACCUCUUUGUUGUCAUAAAAAAUAGUAAGUACAGGCUUAACAGUCCAAAACAAAAUAAGGAAUCAGAACUGAAGCUAGAAAAAUGGACUUUAUAUAAUGCUCUUGUGCGACAUACCUCAUUCAUCUGCCAAUAAUCAUAGAACAAAGUCAGCUUGCAUCUCACGAGCUCUAUAGGCGAUGAUCUAUUCUCUUUGGUUUCUUCAACCAACACAGCCUGAAAAAUAGGAUGGGUUUUAGAUAUUUAAAAACAGGAACAUCUAUCAAAAUAGAAAUCCUACCAUUGAUACAGCAUUAAAAUUAUAUAUCCUCAGAAAUAAAUAGAAACGAAGAGCAUUGGCAUAAAAAAAAUAAAACUAAAAGAAGAAGAAGAAUAAGAGGGAAACAACCAGAGCAGCAAAUAAUUUUUCAACAAAUUAAUGAAAAAAAAAGAAACAAAGUGUACUGACCUCACAUGAAUGCAUUAAAUAAAUUCAAAGUUUUCCAGCUUAACUUACUAGAGCACUAAAGUAACUUAAGACUAAUGCCUUAGCUGAGUACCAUCUUUCUAAUCUUUUACAAUACAUUAGGAAACAAUUCUAUAAUCAUCUCAGCAAAUCAUAUCAUUAACUAAACUCAUUGUAAAUCACAACAUCAUACUCAAACAAGCUUCAAUAAAAAUAUCAAAACUAGUUCGGAAUAGAAAAACACCCAAAUUACUACCUUAAUUGCUUGAGGUAACUCCUGCGAUCCUUUAUCCCCAUACCUCUCAUCCAAAAGCAACAAUCUUGUUGAGCCUUUCCAUAUUCUCUGCCCUUUAAAUUCCUCUCCUAAUAACCCUUUCAUUUCCUCCUCAACUCCUUCUUCCUCCUCCACAACUUCCACAACACAAAACUCUUUCCUCCCAUUUCCUUUGCUUUCCUCAUCCCCUUUUUUUUCUUUCCUUUUCCUCUUCCCUGGCCGCGAAAUCUUAGCCAAAUUUUUAAACUUUACAAAUCCCCUAUAAUUAAACUCCUUCACCAACUUCUCCCUAUACAAAACCAAAGACUCAAACUCUCCAUCACUUCCCCCAUUGUUCUCUUCACCAUCUUUUCCUUUAUCAAAAAGGGUCAUCAUUUCUUCUUCGAUUUCGUCCCCGGGAACCCUGGCAAUGUUCUUAAUCCUUGGCCAAUUCAAGAGGUGACCCCUGAGACGGUUCUCAAGGGCAAAACAGUCAUUUGCAGGGACACGGAGGGCGGCAAGAUGGAAAAUUCUAGUAAAGUUCUCUUCAUCAAUGAGGUUUUCUUCUUCUUCUGGUUGAUGGGUAUCUUGAUUUUGGGUCUGAAAAGGGGUCUUGGGUGGUAUUUUGCCUUUGUGAAGAGAAGGGCCGUAAGAGAAAGCUUGGCUUUCGGUUUCCGUUUGGGUGGAAGAGAAGAGAGAAAGAAUGGGUCGUUUUGGAAGAGAGAAAGAGGAGAGUUUGGGAGAGAAGAUUGUCAAAGGAAGAAGAUAGUUUGGCUUCAGAUGGAGAAGCUUCGUUGUCACCAUUUUUAGUGAAGUACUAAAGUGGGGAUCUUGCCAGAGGGAGGGAAUAUAACGGAUAAGGGGGUUUAACAGGGUUUAAGGCCCUUUCUCUCUUUUUCUUUUUCUCAUAUUUAAUUUUUGAGAAAUAUUUUUGCAUUUAUUUUGGACAUAAAACUAUUGCUAAUUUGCAUUUUAUUUAUUAUAAGUCACUGUAUGAAUCUGUGCUAAAUAUUGGACUAUAAGUCCCCAUUUUUUAAAAUGGAUUUUAUGGUUGUCCUAUAACCAUAUAUACAAAUAAAUUAUUCUUUUAAUAAAAAAAAUCAUAUUAUUUUUUAUCAAAAAUUAUCAAAAAAUAACAUUGUAGCAUUUGAUGGAUUAAUUUACAGAAUUCUUAUAUAUAAAUAUAGAAAAUUAAAUACUGUGGGGCAAUCAUUCUUACAAUUAUAUCUCAAAUUCUUUUGGUAAAGAAUUGCAUGAGCAAACAAUCUGCAAAUUAAGGGUGGCUUUCACACAACAUUAUAGCUUCUCUAGCAAUCUAUAUUGGAUUAAAACAAAAGCUGAUUUAGUGAAAGUUUUGCCCUGAUUAUAGUCACAAACAGACUAAAAAAAAAAAAGACAAGCACCCAAACGGCAGAUAUGCCAUUGUAAUUCAAUACCAAAACAUAAACUUCUGAAAAAAAAAAUUCACUAUAUUUAGAUGAUCUAUUAAGCUAACAACUGGCAUGCUUGUCCAAUAAUAGAUUAAGGUGGUGAAAAUUGCAAAGCAUUCCUAAUUCUUCAGCCAUCUUUGGUUGUUUGUAGAUCAUCCAUCAAACUGAUGAUGUUAGGUCCAGAGUUCUUUCAUCUCCAAAUUUUGGAUUUUUCCUAGGCCACAUGUAUUCAUAAAUCCAUUCAAGUAAACCCCAAAAGAUAGCUGUUAACAGCUAAUGUAAACUAAGACAUACAUGCCAGCAUCUGUGGGUAAACAUUGCUAUCAAGCUGUUCUUUUAUUGUAACAUUUGUGUAAAUAUUUGUACAAUUGCCAUUUCUUGUGACUGUAAAAACAUAAAAUUCAGAGAAAAAAAUAGCUCUAAAUGCCUGAUUUCUGAUAACUAUAGAUUGCAAAUCAAGAACCCCAGGAUAGGCAAAAACUGCCAGAAAAAUUGCAUUGAAAAGAAGAAAAAGAAAAAGGGUUUCUGAUACUUUCUGAUCUGGGUUAUCAUUGUUUCAGUAAAGGCUGAGGAAUUGAACUAUGGUUCCUUUCUAGUAAUCCUUCCAUGAUAACCUUCUUCUUGUAAAACUUGUCUGUAUCAAUCUCAGGAAAAUGCUCAACUGCAUAAUUUCCUGAAGAUGAUGGGGAAAGCUUGAUACUCCAACAAGUGGCCAAGAAGAGCCAGGUUGAAGUACAAAAGAUUGCACAAAGCUUACCCCAGAAGACCAAAACAAACAGGGUAACGAGAAGCAAACACAUACUAACGUUAUAACCGUAGCAGCCCUUUCCAACAUUUCCUUGCAUGUUGUUUUCCAGCUUUUCGGGUAAUGAGAGUGAUGAUGAUGAUGAACACUUUGACGACGCUAAUGAUGAUAAUAAUGAUGAGGAUGAUGAUGAAUUCGUGGUUGAUGUUGUACAUAAACAAGAUGCAAAUGUAGAACUUCUGGUUGAGGGAUUAUCCUCACAUGAUUUCUCCAUUGACUUUGGAUGGGAAACUUUCUUGGGUUUGGAUUUAACACUGUUGUGAGACCGCUGGAGCUUCUCUCCAAAUUUUUUGUUUCGCAUUUUCAUCAUCUGUCAAUGGAAAAUAUACAAAGAAAUCAAUCAGGUUCACAUUCCAUCAACAAAGAACAAAAAAUUAGCAUUAACAAUUGCUAAUUACAGAACAAAUUACGCUAAAAUAUAAGGAAAGAAAAGUAAAGUUGACUAUUAAUUUUCAAGAACAGGGGAGAGUGUCCUUAUCAAUUUGAGUAAUAAUUUGAUUAACUUGCCCAAAUGAAUUAAAAAUUAACGGUCAAAUCAUUUGGUUAAAUGAAGAAGAAAAAUAAGA
rnacentral:lncRNA from 1 species